rnacentral:rRNA from 1 species
AACGGACGCUGGCGGCAUGCCUAACACAUGCAAGUCGAAUGAGGCCUUCGGGUCUAGUGGCGCACGGGUGCGUAACGCGUGGGAACCUGCCCUUAGGUUCGGAAUAACUCCCCGAAAGGGGUGCUAAUACCGGAUAAUGUCUUCGGACCAAAGAUUUAUCGCCUUUGGAUGGGCCCGCGUUGGAUUAGCUAGUUGGUAGGGUAAAAGCCUACCAAGGCGACGAUCCAUAGCUGGUCUGAGAGGAUGAUCAGCCACACUGGGACUGAGACACGGCCCAGACUCCUACGGGAGGCAGCAGUGGGGAAUAUUGGAAAAUGGGCGAAAGCCUGAUCCAGCAAUGCCGCGUGAGUGAUGAAGGCCUUAGGGUUGUAAAGCUCUUUUACCCGGGAUGAUAAUGACAGUACCGGGAGAAUAAGCUCCGGCUAACUCCGUG